AUUAAAGUUCAGCUGAAUUUCUCAUCGAAUGUCGAACAUUUGUUUCACACGGAAAUACGACCAAAAUUGUUGUCACCUGCCGUUGUUUCCGUUGAAAUGGUUUCCCUCUUUUGAAUGUGGCGCCAAGGAAACCGAAGCCAUCUAGUGUCAAAUAUCAAAACUGUAUGCAAGACCUCUAGCGGUCCUCUGGUGAACGUUGAUUGCCAAAUAAUUUAGAAGUUGUCGCUCGUUCAAUCUCGACGUUGCACAAAAACAAAACAAAAAAUCAAAUGAUGGAGUGUCUUCGUUACAAAAAAGAGUGACGGACCUGUAAUAGGACGCAAGCACUUCCCAAGGUCGUUUUGACAGAUGCUCAAAAAACCAAUAACAAAUAAGCAUACAAAUCCACCGUCAUUUAAUAUUUGCUAACGUCUACGAGUCAUCAAGAUGUAUUGUCUACAGUGGCUGCUACCUGUACUGCUGAUUCCCAAGCCCAUCAAUCCAUUACUUCUGUACAACCAUGCUGUCUUCAUGGUGCUCUACCUGGCUGGAUUCUUUCUUGAACGGCAGCCUUGUACAAUUUGCUCACUAGCCUUUCUUAUCGCCCUUUUCCUUCUCUGCUAUAGUGGGCUGGGCUGGUGCAUCUUUUGGGAAUCCGAUUGUGACACUGUCAGAUGUGGUGAGAUGAACUUGUGAUGGAAUGUUACUCUUCUUUUCAUUUGUGUAUUGCAUUAAUAAACCAAGUGACCCCAACAAGCAAAUAUAUAUCAGUAAUUUGGGUGCCUAAAACACAA